rnacentral:rRNA from 1 species
AUUGAACGCUGGCGGCAGGCCUAACACAUGCAAGUCGAGCGGAGCGGCGGACGGGUGAGUAAUGCCAAGGAAUCGGCCUGGUCGUGGGGGAGAAGGAUCAGAACCGGGCGCUAUUACCACUUACUCUCGGACGCGCCUAGGUCGAAUUAGCUAGAUGGUGGGGUAACGGCCAACCAAGGCGACGAUCCGUAACUGGUGUGAGAGGAUGAUCAGUCACACUGGAACUGAGACACGGUCCAGACUCCUACGGGAGGCAGCAGUGGGGAAUAUUGGACAAUGGGCGAAAGCCUGAUCCAGCCAUGCCGCGUGUGUGAAGAAGGUCUUCGGAUUGUAAAGCACUUUAAGUUGGGAGGCGUUACCAACAGAAUAAGCACCGGCUAACUUCGUGCCAGCAGCCGCGGUAAUUC